UUGUCCAAAAAUGGCUGAAAAGGUGCCCACUAUGGCGGUCCACACUUUAAUCAAUUAACACCAACUUACCUCCCACUCUUGAUAAGGGUUCUAUUCAAUCCCAAAAAGUUUUCCUCUAGCCCCAUUUGAAGUUGAAUAUAUUGCGCAAUUAUCCCCCACAACGUUCGGAUCAUAUAUAUAAGAAUCUCUUAUGGUCGAUAAUGUUCGUCGAACCACUGGCGAUUGCAUUCGGCAAUGGCUAUGAUGCGUAAUUUUUCCCUAUAGGCACUCGAACAUAACUGAAGAUGAAAUAAUUCCAUUUCACAAGAGAUGCGUUUGCCAAGUAAAUGAGCAAGUUUAAAUAGAAGGUGACGAGUCUGACGACUAAGGCAACCCCCAGCUUCAACAACAGUAUAGCCUAUAGACAAGUUCGCAUUGACAUGUUUGCAGGUCUCUAAGCUUGGAAGGAUCGACAAUAAUUAUUGCGAUCACAUGAGAUAUGAUGACUUUUUAAUGACAUGGACUACCAACUCUUGGCAAAUGCGAGGCAGCAGUUCCUUCCUGCUGCUUCCGAUGCAGAAAACUUUGGUCCAAAAUGGGACACAGGCUUAAACUUGAAAAUAGUCAAGAACUCAAACAACACGAAUCAUAGAAGCUUAGAGCUUAAGAUCUUAUCUAAAUUGACUUCAGGUGCACAGAAAAGGUGAUGAGUAAAGCUACCCUUGGCUUGAGAAAACACAGAAAGCCAAAAUGAAACCAGUCUCAGUAACAUCCCACAUCGAAAUAGAAACAGAAAAAACUCAGGACACAAUAUAAUACUACAUAUUGUCCAAAUCCAUCGAACCAUAAUGGAGAUCAUGGAGGUCAUACCCAUGUAGUAACUUUCAACUAUGCAAAUUCUGGUACCAUUCCAACACAAUUGAGUAUCCCGUGCAUGCCAUGAGCAGACGUCACACAAAGAGAACCCAAUAAUUUUACUACUUGGGGCCAAUGUCCUUGAGGGCACAGAUCUGUUCUUCCCCCAUAGCCGACAUAACAGACACAACGAGGUCUUUCCCUUCUCCAAACCCAUCC